GUGGGGAAUAUUGCACAAUGGGGGAAACCCUGAUGCAGCCAUGCCGCGUGUGUGAAGAAGGCCUUCGGGUUGUAAAGCACUUUCAGCGAGGAGGAAAGGUUGGCGCCUAAUACGUGUCAACUGUGACGUUACUCGCAGAAGAAGCACCGGCUAACUCCGUGCCAGCAGCCGCGGUAAUACGGAGGGUGCAAGCGUUAAUCGGAAUUACUGGGCGUA
rnacentral:rRNA from 1 species